UCAUAAAACUAUGGCAGCAUAGGUAUUCCCCUGCACUACUCACAAUUCAGCAGGAACAGCCCUCUAAGCAUGUUAAUAGCCUGUACAAAGAGAUUCCAUAAAAGAAUACCAGCAUUUCCCUGUACUUUGUUACUUCUUUACUCAGUUUAUUAACUUUCUCCUACCAUUUAAUCCUUUUAUUUAUCCUUUUCCUCACUAUAUCCCAUCAAAAAAAUUGGUGAUCUAUAAGUGUGCCAUGUGCAAUUUAUUACCUUCUAGAUCUGUGUCUUUGCAACCAAAAUAUUCGUAGAAGCAUUACUUCCCCCCCCCUGGAAAACUUUGGAAAACGAUACGAUCCCCUUCCACGUUACCAAUUUACCAUAUAGUCCCAGUGGCGUAACUACCGAGGAAGCAGACCGCAGACCCCGCAGCUGUGCGCGCAUGUGCGUGGGGGGGGGAUAUAGGGGGCCUGAUUCCUCAGCAGCAUGUGCAACCGGCAGGGACCAUUUCGGGGAAUGGUACUGGCAAUCUGGACCUCCGCAGGGCUUCUGAUAUUUUAUCCAGAGUGCCUCGCUACUUUUACUAAUAAAAACAGUGGCAGACUGAGGGGUGGGAGUUCGAGCGAUUGCACUCCACUUUCAUGCCCUAAACUCAGCUAUCUAAUGGAAGGCAGGGAAAAGGGCACCUGUAUAAGUUGAACUGUCCAGGACUCUGCUGACUGCUCUGUGCUGCAGAUUCCCCCCUCCUCCCUUCCCUAAUAGACUAUCAGCAUAGAAAGAAUGUAGGGCUGGUAAGGAUACAAAUGACAUUUAUUGCACUGCCUUGUGCUGGUUUAACCCUUGUCUUUCCUUGCCUUAAUGUGCAAAGUUUCAAUUGUGCCAUCUGCUAUUUAUACAUGAAAUUUCACUGUGCCAUCCUUCUAUAGUUCUGGGGUAUUUAUAUGUGAAAUUGCCACUGUGCCAUCCUUCUAUGGGUUCUGGGGAUAUUAUACAUGAAAUUGACUCCUUCUUGCCUCUAGCCCCAGGUUUCACUUUCAAAUCUUGUAAUCUUAGUAUGACAGGAACUGAGAUGAAUGCUGUUCCCCCAUGCUGCAAAGCAGUCUAGUCUUAAUCUGACUCUGAUCAUGGAUGAGCUGAAGGUACAUGUGGUAGGGGGGAUCCUGGGUCUCCCACAAUUAUGUGCAGAGGGGGCCCAGAAAUUUUUCUUGCAGGGGGGCCCUGGCAUCCGAAGUUACGCCACUGGAUGGUGUAAAUACAUCCAAAAUUGUAUACAGCCAGGAACAAGCGGAUUAUAUAGAUAGAGUAAAGUCCAGGAGACGUACGAUACGUCAAGUAUUAUAUAGGGUGGUCUGGUGUAAUAGCCGCAAUGUGGUAGGUGGCUAGCAGAGAGAAGCGUAUUCCUGAGAGUAUUUUGCAAUGACAAAUUAUGUCGACAAAAAUGGUAUGUAUAUCAAACGUGAAAGAACCCAGUUGGCAGAGUAAUUUUGGUGUUUAAAAGGUAUAGUCUUGCACAACAGUCAAGUAUGUGAGCUUGACAAUGGGCAAAGUGUAGUUCAGCGUGCCUCCUUUGAUGUAAGCCAACUUAUUAGGGGCUGAUCCAGCUAUGGCGAGUGCCCUUAGGGCGCUGUGAGAUAUGAUGAAACUGGGUAUAAAAACUGUUUAGUCCGCACUCCACUGGGAUCAGAGGAGUAUGGGUAAGUUGUUAAGGUGUAUAGUUUAACAGUCAGCACGGGUCCCCAGGUGCGCAAGCAGGGAGACAGCUGAAUAGGUACAGUCGUGCGAUCCCCGCACUGGUGCGUCUGAGUACAUAUAACAAGAAGGUAGUGACUGUGAAGGCCCAACCUGCGAUCUAGUCGCAAUGGCCGUGCCGUGCCCUCUAGACAAAGCGCCCCAGAAAGUGAAGGGAGACCGGAGUUCAAACAGCCUCCACGUGGUGAACAGCAGCCGUGCAAUGUAGAUGCGGCCUGUAGGAAACAGCGAUGCGGCUGUGAGCUAUGGCGUCUGGUAAGGUUGUGUGCGCUAUGGGUAGUAUUUUCCCCGCCGUCCCGUGACCAGGGUAUGCCGUUGAUGUGAGGAUCGGGGACUUAUGCUUACCGAUCUACGGCUCAGUUCAGUCAAAAUGGAGUGAUGGCCUGGUCCGGGUCCACGAGGGAUGCGCAGGGUAGUAAUUGCGGCAGCUUCCAGGGAAAGCAAAAGAGGGACGAGCCAAAAAGCGAAUGCUUUGUUUUCCCCUCACUAUCCUGCUGAUGGAAACAGAGUGUUAGCCGUGUAGUAAAAGACCGUGAUGGCCGUGGAUGGCAAUCUCUGUGCAGGAGCUCUGCUAAAACGCGGCCAUCUUAGGGUCCGCCCCCCAGAAGUCCCAGGACUACAUGGACGUUUUCUGCAUGAUCUGAUGCACUGCGACAAAAACGACAAAAAUAAGGUUACUUGCUGCUCAGAUUAGUGAAUCAGGAGGAGAGAACAGUUGUUAUGACCGAGGAAGAUAAAGUGAUGAAAGGACAAGAGAAUACAGAAGUGGUGUAAAUAAUAAGUUGGAAAAGAAGAUAACAGAUGUUCACCUACACAGAGGGAAUCACCAGCAGUUCAAUCAGUUACAAGAAAAGAUGACAUUCCAUUUGUACAUUGCAUACCAAUAAAAUUUUUAACUAACUCUUGUAAAGUUUUCAAUAAAAACAUGAAUAAUCA